UGGCUGUCGUCAGCUCGUGCCGUGAGGUGUUGGGUUAAGUCCCGCAACGAGCGCAACCCUCGCCUCUAGUUGCCAUCGGUUCGGCCGGGCACUCUAGAGGGACUGCCGGCGAUGAGCCGGAGGAAGGUGGGGAUGACGUCAAGUCAUCAUGCCCCUGAUGGCCUGGGCGACACACAUGCUACAAUGGCCGGGACAGUGGGCUGCGAACCCGCGAGGGGGAGCCAAUCCCAAAAACCCGGUCCCAGUUCGGAUCGCAGGCUGCAACUCGCCUGCGUGAAGCCGGAAUCGCUAGUAACCGCCGGUCAGCCACACGGCGGUGAAUACGUUCCCGGGUCUUGUACACACCGCCCGUCACGUCAUGGGAGCCGGUUCCACCCGAAGCCGGUGGCCCAACCCGCAAGGGAGGGAGCCGUCGAAGGUGGGGUCGGUGACUGGGACGAAGUCGUAACAAGGUAGCCAAGGGCGA
rnacentral:rRNA from 1 species